AUAAAUCUAGCGCAGAUUUCAGCGCUUCCGCACUAUGAGGAUUGGCUUUCAUAAGAAUCAACGAGUCAUCCGCAAAGAGAAGAUUGGUAAUAGGUGGUGCGGCUCUACAGACUUUCUCUCCCGAUAUAUUUUCAUUUUCCUCUACAUGUGUUAAUAAAGCAUUCAACCCUUGUGUACACAACAAAAAAGAUAAGGUGACAACG
rnacentral:lncRNA from 1 species